GACGAACGCUGGCGGCGUGCCUAAUACAUGCAAGUAGAACGCUGAAGAGAGGAGCUUGCUCUUCUUGGAUGAGUUGCGAACGGGUGAGUAACGCGUAGGUAACCUGCCUUGUAGCGGGGGAUAACUAUUGGAAACGAUAGCUAAUACCGCAUAACAAUGGAUGACACAUGUCAUUUAUUUGAAAGGGGCAAUUGCUCCACUACAAGAUGGACCUGCGUUGUAUUAGCUAGUAGGUGAGGUAACGGCUCACCUAGGCGACGAUACAUAGCCGACCUGAGAGGGUGAUCGGCCACACUGGGACUGAGACACGGCCCAGACUCCUACGGGAGGCAGCAGUAGGGAAUCUUCGGCAAUGGGGGCAACCCUGACCGAGCAACGCCGCGUGAGUGAAGAAGGUUUUCGGAUCGUAAAGCUCUGUUGUAAGUCAAGAACGAGUGUGAGAGUGGAAAGUUCACACUGUGACGGUAGCUUACCAGAAAGGGCCGGCUAACUACGUGCCAGCAGCCGCGGUAAUACGUAGGUCCCGAGCGUUGUCCGGAUUUAUUGGGCGUAAAGCGAGCGCAGGCGGUUUGAUAAGUCUGAAGUUAAAGGCUGUGGCUCAACCAUAGUUCGCUUUGGAAACUGUCAAACUUGAGUGCAGAAGGGGAGAGUGGAAUUCCAUGUGUAGCGGUGAAAUGCGUAGAUAUAUGGAGGAACACCGGUGGCGAAAGCGGCUCUCUGGUCUGUAACUGACGCUGAGGCUCGAAAGCGUGGGGAGCGAACAGGAUUAGAUACCCUGGUAGUCCACGCCGUAAACGAUGAGUGCUAGGUGUUGGAUCCUUUCCGGGAUUCAGUGCCGCAGCUAACGCAUUAAGCACUCCGCCUGGGGAGUACGACCGCAAGGUUGAAACUCAAAGGAAUUGACGGGGGCCCGCACAAGCGGUGGAGCAUGUGGUUUAAUUCGAAGCAACGCGAAGAACCUUACCAGGUCUUGACAUCCCGAUGCUAUUUCUAGAGAUAGAAAGUUACUUCGGUACAUCGGUGACAGGUGGUGCAUGGUUGUCGUCAGCUCGUGUCGUGAGAUGUUGGGUUAAGUCCCGCAACGAGCGCAACCCCUAUUGUUAGUUGCCAUCAUUCAGUUGGGCACUCUAGCGAGACUGCCGGUAAUAAACCGGAGGAAGGUGGGGAUGACGUCAAAUCAUCAUGCCCCUUAUGACCUGGGCUACACACGUGCUACAAUGGUUGGUACAACGAGUUGCGAGUCGGUGACGGCAAGCUAAUCUCUUAAAGCCAAUCUCAGUUCGGAUUGUAGGCUGCAACUCGCCUACAUGAAGUCGGAAUCGCUAGUAAUCGCGGAUCAGCACGCCGCGGUGAAUACGUUCCCGGGCCU
rnacentral:rRNA from 1 species